rnacentral:snRNA from 1 species
UUCAUGAGUAAAUCAUUAGAAUC